rnacentral:rRNA from 1 species
UACGGAGGGUGCAAGCGUUAUCCGGAUUCACUGGGUUUAAAGGGUGCGUAGGUGGGCAGGUAAGUCAGUGGUGAAAUCUCCGAGCUUAACUCAGAAACUGCCAUUGAUACUAUUUGUCUUGAAUAUUGUGGAGGUAAGCGGAAUAUGUCAUGUAGCGGUGAAAUGCUUAGAUAUGACAUAGAACACCAAUUGCGAAGGCAGCUUACUACACAAUGAUUGACGCUGAGGCACGAAAGCGUGGGGAUCAAACAGG